ACUCCUACGGGGAGGGCAGCAGUAGGGAAUGCAUUGCUGCAAUGGGCGAAAGCCUGACGCAGCGACGCCGCGUGCGGGAUGACGGCCCUAGUGGUUGUAAAUCGCUUUCAGCAGGGACGAAAUGACGGUACCUGCAGAAGAAGUCCCGGCUAACUACGUGCCAGCAGCCGCGGUAAUACGUAGGGACAAGCGUUGUCCGGAUUCAUUGGGCGUAAAGAGCUCGUAGGCGGUUCAGUAAGUUGGGUGUGAAAGCUCCGGGCUCAACCCGGAGAGGCCACUCAAUACUGCUGUGACUAGAGUCCAGUAGAGGAGCGUGGAACUCCUGGUGUAGCGGUGAAAUGCGCAGAUAUCAGGAAGAACACCGGCAGCGAAGGCGGCGCUCUGGGCUGGUACUGACGCUGAGGAGCGAAAGCAUGGGUAGCAAACAGGAUUAGAUACCCUGGUAGGCUCUGCUAGUCGUAGGAGGCAAGGCACACA
rnacentral:rRNA from 1 species